AAACGAUAUUGGAAGCUUAGCUUCUGAUAGGCGUCGACCGGCGCACGGGUGAGUAACGCGUAUCCAACCUGCCCAUCACUUGGGGGAUAACCUUGCGAAAGUAAGACUAAUACCCAAUGACGUCUCUAGAAGACAUCUGAAAGAGAUUUAAAGGAUUUAUCGGUGAUGGAUGGGGAUGCGUCUGAUUAGCUUGUUGGCGGGGUAACGGCCCACCAAGGCGACGAUCAGUAGGGGUUCUGAGAGGAAGGUCCCCCACAUUGGAACUGAGACACGGUCCAAACUCCUACGGGAGGCAGCAGUGAGGAAUAUUGGUCAAUGGACGAGAGUCUGAACCAGCCAAGUAGCGUGCAGGAUGACGGCCCUAUGGGUUGUAAACUGCUUUUAUAAGGGAAUAAAGUGGGAGUCGUGACUCUUUUUGCAUGUACCUUAUGAAUAAGGACCGGCUAAUUCCGUG
rnacentral:rRNA from 1 species